rnacentral:rRNA from 1 species
UACGGGGGGAGCAAGCGUUGGUUCGGAUUUACUGGGCGUAAAGGGCGCGUAGGCGGUCGUGACAAGUCACUUGUGAAAUCUCCGGGCUUAACUCGGAACGGUCAAGUGAUACUGUCGGACUAGAGUACAGAAGGGGCAACUGGAAUUCUCGGUGUAGCGGUGAAAUGCGUAGAUAUCGAGAGGAACACCUGCGGCGAAGGCGGGUUGCCUGGGCUGAUGACUGACGCUGAGGCGCGAAA